rnacentral:rRNA from 1 species
AUUGAACGCUGGCGGCAGGCCUAACACAUGCAAGUCGAGCGGAGCGGCGGACGGGUGAGUAAUGCCUAUGAAUCUGCCUGUUAGUGGGGGAUAACGUCCGGACACGGGCGCUAAUACCGCAUCCUAUCAGAUGAGCCUAGGUCGGAUUAGGUAGUUGGUGGGGUAAAGGCCUACCAAGGCGACGAUCCGUAACUGGUCUGAGAGGAUGAUCAGGCACACGGGAAGUGAGACACGGUCCAGACUCCUACGGGAGGCAGCAGUGGGGAAGAUUGGACAAUGGGCGAAAGCCUGAUCCAGCCAUGCCGCGUGUGUGAAGAAGGUCUUAGGAUUGUAAAGAACUUUAAGUUGGGAGGCGUUACCAACAGAAUAAGCACCGGCUAACUUCGUGCCAGCAGCCGCGGUAAUAC